rnacentral:pre_miRNA from 9 species
UCUCGAUAGCGUAAAAUUUAAUUCAAAUUUGUACGGAGUUGGAACGUUUGCCUACAUUUGCCGCUAGGGGCGCUUUUCCAGCUGCAUACAAUAUUGAAUUAACUUUGACGCUAUCGA